UACGUAGGGGGCUAGCGUUGUCCGGAAUCAUUGGGCGUAAAGAGCGUGUAGGCGGCCCGGUAAGUCCGCUGUGAAAGUCGGGGGCUCAACCCUCGAAUGCCGGUGGAUACUGUCGGGCUAGAGUGCGGAAGAGGCGAGUGGAAUUCCUGGUGUAGCGGUGAAAUGCGCAGAUAUCAGGAGGAACACCAAUAGCGAAGGCAGCUCGCUGGGACGGUACUGACGCUGAGGCGCGAAAGCGUGGGGAGCAAACAGG
rnacentral:rRNA from 1 species